rnacentral:rRNA from 1 species
UACGUAGGGUGCAAGCGUUAAUCGGAAUUACUGGGCGUAAAGCGUGCGCAGGCGGUUUUGUAAGUCUGUCGUGAAAUCCCCGGGCUCAACCUGGGAAUUGCGAUGGAGACUGCAAGGCUAGAAUCUGGCAGAGGGGGGUAGAAUUCCACGUGUAGCAGUGAAAUGCGUAGAGAUGUGAAGGAACACCGAUGGCGAAGGCAGCCCCCCUGGGUCAAGAUUGACGCUCAUGCACGAAAGCGUGGGGAGCAAACAGG